AAAGCAUUGUUCUUAGUUCUCCAGGUGUUUAGAGAAAUUCUUGUACAGUUACAAACAGUGGUAGAUUAUUAAAUGUUGUAUUUGCAGAGAAUGUUGCUUGCAUAGCAAUUCUAUUAUAAAAUCGCAAAGCUUAGAAAGGGAAAUGAUUAACUAAAAUUGGUUCAUAUGAAUAAUUUCUGUCCUCCUUAUACAGAAGACCUGUGAAUCUUGCCUUUCUACAAAGAUUUUUCAAUGUAAAGUUUCAGAAAAUCAGGCUAAUAGGAUCAGUUCAGAUAAUUUGAGUGAUGACUAGAAAACCUUUUUAUUUUCUCUCUCGAUCUGCAGUGUCCUUGCUUACUUGAAUUAGUAUGUAUACAGUUAGGAUUAGAAUGGGGUUCUAGAUGGGUAAAGUAGAUUCACACUUUAAAAAAAAAAAAAGUCAAGCAAAAAAAUAGCACUACUGCCAACUGAAUCUUCUGGUUUUUGACAAUGCUUGCUUAUAUGGAAAGUUACUGAAGACAAUAUGGAAGACUUAUGUCUUUGAAACAGCAUCAGGAUCAGAGCUGAAGUGAUGGCAAGCUGGAAACAGGCUGUAAUGAGCUGAAAAGAAGGAGCAUGAAGUGAAGUACACCUGUGGGCUCCAUGCUUGCAGCUGCCUGAGAUAGUCAUCCAAAUAUGCCACCCUGCCUCUACCAGCCUGCCAACAGAAGCAGUGUGUUCAUGCUGGGCUUUUCAGCUGUGUGGCAGUGCCACAUAGACCUUCUGUGACUCAGCCAAAGACGAAGUUCAUGUACAAGAAGUACAUCUCAGGUCUGGGUUUUCUUGUUUGGCUUUUUAUUCAUAGGUACAUAGCACCAAAAUGUUUCUUCUAAGUGUUCUUGCUGAAAGCUGUUCAAACGUGUAUUGUCUGGAAGAAGACUGACAAAAUUAUAACUUAGAGCUGUCAAGCUUUACC
ensembl:lncRNA